UUUUACUCAUCCUCCAAAGAAGGGAGACACAUGGCAUGAGAAGACCUCUGUGAUCGUCUCUACUCGGUUCCCAGAUGCUACAGUAGGCCUCCGCGGAGCACCCUCCCCACAGAUACCCGGGCUGACAGCCGUCCUCUCCGCUCUCCCGAAACCUCUUUAAGGAGAGCUAAAACUACCGUACCCGACGCUCUGCUUCCUUUGAACAGCCGCCCUGGUCUGCUUGUGUGAGAAAAGAGCUGCGGUGAAGAGAGUAGAGAGAGAGAGAGAGAGAGCCUCCCUUCUUCAGCUGCUAGAUACCAGCCUCAUUGUCUUCAUCAGCGGAUGAAAGUU